GCCCCAUAAGGGUGGGGCGGGGGCCCAGGGAGCCGGACCAGGGAGCGUCGUUGCGCGGCAGUUGCGUCCUACCUCGCGCGCAGACCCCGGGCGGGGGCGGGGCCGAGGCGGCCGCUGAGGCGGCUCCCUGUUCUGGUCCCGCCCCCUCCACCCGCCCCGCCCCCUCCACCCGCCCCGCCCCCUCGGUGCGCUGCUCUCCGGCUCCCGCCGCGCUCGUGUUCUCGUCGCCUGCGGCCUCUUGCUCUGCUUCCCCGCGGCCGAGAGCGGGACCAGAGAGUCCUUCUGGUGGGCGGCGCGGGGCUGCGCGCGUCCGGCAUCCCGGGGCCGCUCGGGCGGGCCGGCGAGGGAGCCCCUCGGCGGUCCAUGCAUCCGCCGCCGCCCGACGCCGGCGUCGCGAUGGAUUUCGGGCAGAACAGCCUGUUUGGCUACAUGGAGGACCUGCAGGAGCUCACCAUCAUCGAGAGGCCGGUCCGCCGGAGCCUCAAGACACCAGAAGAAAUAGAAAGACUGACUGUUGAUGAAGAUCUCAGUGAUAUUGACAGGGCUGUUUAUCUGCUCAGUGCUGGUCAAGAUGUCCAAGGAGCCAGUGUGAUUGCAAACCUUCCAUUUUUGAUGCGACAGAAUCCUACUGAGACACUUCGGAGAGUCUUACCCAAAGUCAGAGUAAGUUGGUAUGAAGAAGUCCUGCAUGUCGCAAGCGUGGAGAUGCAGCUAACGGCUGCAGUGUCCUUUUUGACCAUCCUUCAGGAAGAAUCAAUGUCAGUCCACACCUGUGCACACUCCUUCCUGCAAGUCAUUCUCCUGCACCUGGAGCACAGGGACACAGGUGUCAGCAAUGCAUGGCUGGAGACACUUCUCUCCGCAGUAGAAUUAUUGCCAAAAGAAACCCUGAGGCAUGAGAUUCUCAAUCCACUUGUUUCCAAGGCACAGCUUUCCCAAACCGUCCAGUCGCGUUUAGUUAGCUGUAAAAUUUUAGGAAAAAUAACCAACAAAUUUGAUGCCCAUAGCAUUAAGAGAGAAAUACUUCCCCUGGUAAAAUCACUCUGUCAAGAUGUGGAAUAUGAAGUUCGAUCUUGUAUGUGUCGCCAGUUAGAAAACAUAGCUCAGGGCAUUGGGGCAGAACUGACAAAGAAUGUGGUGCUUCCCGAACUAAUAGAACUCUCUAGGGACGAGAGUGGCAGUGUGCGGCUUGCUGCUUUUGAAACCUUGGUUAACAUGCUUGACAUGUUCGAUACAGAUGACAGAAGUCAAACUAUACUUCCCUUAGUGAAAUCGUUCUGUGAAAAGUCUUUCAAAGCAGAUGAAUCCAUUCUGAUUUCUUUAUCAUUUCAUUUAGGAAAGCUAUGCCAUGGACUCUAUGGAAUUUUCACUCCAGAUCAGCACUUGAGAUUUUUGGAGUUUUAUAAGAAACUUUGUACACUGGGUUUGCAACAAGAAAAUGGCCACAAUGAAAGCCAGAUUCCAUCCCAAAUCGUAGAGCAGGAGAAGAAAUAUACUUCAGUACGAAAGAACUGUGCUUACAACUUUCCGGCCAUGAUUGUUUUUGUUGAUCCUAAAAACUUCCACAUGGAACUCUACUCUACAUUCUUCUGCCUUUGUCAUGACCCUGAAGUGCCAGUCAGACACACUAUUGCUAUUUGCUUUUAUGAAGUAUCUAAACUUCUGAAUUCUGGAGUACAUUUAAUUCACAAAGAGCUGAUAACAUUGUUACAAGAUGAGUCACUGGAGGUUCUAGAUGCUCUUAUAAAUCACCUUCCAGAAAUCUUGGAACUUAUGUCUACUGGUGGAGAAAACAGUGUUCAAGAAAAUAAGUUUUCCUCAGUGCCAGACUUGAUUCCAGCACUCACAGCUGCUGAGCAGCGAGCUGCAGCCUCCCUGAAGUGGAGGACCCACGAGAAGCUGCUGCAGAAGUACACCUGUCUGCCUCAUAUCAUAUCGAGUGACCAGAUUUAUUACCGUUUCUUACAAAGAAUGUUCACCAUCAUGAUGACAAAUAAUGUCUUACCUGUCCAAAGGGCAGCUGCACGAACUCUAUGCAUUUUUCUACGAUAUAAUCGUAAACAAGAGCAGAGGCAUGAAGUCAUUCAAAAACUAAUUGAACAGUUGGGCCAAGGAAAAAGUUAUUGGAAUAGACUUCGCUUUUUGGAUACCUGUGAAUUUAUCAUAGAGAUAUUUUCCAGAUCAUUUUUCUGCAAAUAUUUCUUUCUACCUGUUAUUGAACUAACCCAUGACCCAGUGGCAAAUGUGAGUUGUCUGUUGAUGGACUUCUCAGUUGGCUUCAUAACUCGGUUAGUAAAUAGUUUGGAAUACAAUGUUAUUCUCUUAACUGAUAUCUAAGGUCUUUUGUCUUACUGGGCUGAGCAAGCACAAGUCAAAGCCAGCCGGCCAGCCUGGCUGAGUAAAUAUUAUUUGUUUGAUAAGAGCCCUAACAAGUAUUGCUUAUCAAAUGCACUAAUCCCUAAUGUCAAGAACUUUGUAAUCUUGUGGGCCCAUGAGUCAAUGUUUUCUAGAUAUGCCUUGGGUAAUAGUGAUUUAUACUUUGUGUGCUUCUCAAGUGAAUGUUUUAACAUUUAAUUUACUGAGUUUGGACACUGUAAGGCUGGGGAAAUCCUAUUGCUAUUCAGAGGAACCUGUUCUUCAGUGGCCAGAAGUGAACUAAGUUUUCUGGGGAGGACUUGAGAGUUCUUAGUUAUAGUGUCCUCUGUAUCUGUGCUGAGCAGUGAGUGAGUUGGAGGCCAUUGGUACUCAAUGUUGAGAAUCCCAAAGACCUUCUUCACCUCUUCAGAUGCACAGACUCAAGGGCUAUUGUGUAGGAAAAGCUCUCAACUGAAGGUCUGCAGACAGCAUCCUGGCAACCCUUGGAAUGGUAUUUAGCUGCCUCAAGAUUUGCAAAAGAAAUACAGAGCAUUAACCUGGAGAGUAUAUGCUGAGCGAAUGACUCCAGCAGCUGUAAGACACCCCUUUCCAGAACUAGCCUAAAAAGAGUCAGGUUGGUAUUUAACAAAACAGAGCACCUCACUGGCAGCCUUCCUUCUCUGGGAUGGUGUUCUUCACCCCGGGAUCUCCCAGAUUUUGCCUCCAGAGGCCUCCUUGUUUCUUCUUUACCCAGCUGAUCUGGACAGUGUUUCUCACUGCCCUGAUUAUGCUAAGAAUCUCUCCAUCCUCGCCUAAACUACCAUCUCCAUGCAGCCUUCACUUACUCUCUUGCAAGGACAUCCACCUGCACAGCAGGCUUACUGAGACAGCUGUAGAUUUAGAAUUCCCAUUGAAUUUCUAAUGGGCAUCCCAGACUUAAUCUGUCUAGCAUUCAGUGCUGGGUCUGCUUUGUCUGUAUCUCUUCCUUUUGCAGACCUCUGCAUGCCAGGAAGCAGCCAGUUCAUCUUCCCCCUGCUCAAGCCAAAUCCUAAAUUUACCCUUUUCUCUCCACCAUCCCAACUGCAGUCCCCGAGGCCACCCUGGCUCACAGAAGACAUGCAGAGUGCAGGCUUCACUGGGCACCUUGGCUGCUGCUUCUGGCUCAAAGUGCUGUCAGUUCUUGCUUUGGGGGUUUCCCUAUUGUUUCUCUUACUUCCUUAGCCACUUAUGGUCUAAUGUCAAAACAGUAUCUGAUAAUUAGGAAAGUUAACUUGGAUCACUUUACUCCUCUGCUCAUACCUUCCAAUGCUUUCAUUGCAUUUGAAAUUGAUACCUGUCUUUAACAGUGCCUCACAGGGCCCUUGUCACCACUCAAGUCUCCUAAGCUUAUCUUUGCUCUACUCUGCCUCAAGGCUAGUUUGAUAAUUCAGAGUAUCACUAGGCAAGCCUUGCAUGAUGGCCACAAUGCUUUUUCAGACACUUGAGUGGCUUGCUCCCUGAUUUCCUAGGUUUCCUUAAAUAUCAUCUGUUCAAUAAAAACAUCACUGACUUCUCAAACACUGCCUUCCAGACCGGCUCACCACUUCCUGGCAGACAUUUUCUUUGUCCAUGCAUUCUGUCUUCCACGCCCCAUGCUAGAGUGCAAAUCCCGAGGAACUAGAGGAACAGAGGAUUCUGUUGGUUUGAUUCCAUUUUGUGUCUUGUUAUGCAGACCAACGAAUGCCUUAUAAACAGUAGGCACUGCACGCAUACUUGCUACAUGGGCAGAUGAGCGCUGAGGUUUCCAAAAGCUUGUCCCGUUUCAGUUGCACACCCCUGUUACUCUCCGUUAUUAUACUCGCUCUCACUACAGAAUGAAACUUUGCUACCUGCUGCCCAAGGUGAAGUCUGCGCUGAAGAUUCCUGCAGACAUGCAUCUCCUCCAGCAGCUAGAAAUGUGUGUGAGAAAGCUCCUGUGUCAAGAAAAAGAUAAAGACGUCCUGGCUAUUGUGAAGAAAACGGUAUUAGAGUUGGACAGAAUGGAGAUGUCUAUGGAUAUGUUCCAGAAAAAAAACUAUGAGAAAGAUUUGUUGGAUCAAGAGAAAGAAAGAGAAGAGCUGCUGUUUUUGGAAAUGGAACAGCUGGAGAAGGAGAAGCAUCAGAGUGACGGGAGGCUGGCCAGUGACAAAAGCUUUGAGAAGAAACGCAGAGACUCCAGGACAUCAACUCAGAGCCUGUCCAAGAACUUGCCCAUUUCUGUUCCUGGACCCUCCUCUAGCACUGCAUCAACAAGCAAAGAAAUCAAGAAAUCCAAAUUGACUCGAAGCCAAUCUUUUAAUAAUCAAGCUUUUCAUGCAAAAUAUGGCACCUUAGACAAGUGUGCUAGUAAAAGUUCCACCUUAGCACACACGUCUUCCGUCUCAGGGCUGGUGAGGACUGCCAUGCUGUCACUAACUGAUGACUCAUUCCGAACUCGAAAUGCCAGCAGUGUUCCAGCUUCCUUUUCUCCUAACCCUGUCAUGCCCAGCACUUCCCGUGGGCCAGGUAACACAGCCGAUCCAAAGAGUAGUGGAAGUAAAGAUGCACAGCCCCGGAAGGCUACCUUAAAAUCCAGAAAAUCCAAUCCUUAAGUCAACUGCUUGGUGAAGGAGACAAGCAGUCAGCGGAGAAUCUGAUGGUGGAAAAGCUACAGCGACAGACGGCCAGGAUUGUUAAAGUGUGGAAGGGAGGAAGGAACAUCGUGCAGCUGAUGUGAAACUUGCCCUAUUUGGAAUUAGAUUUCCCUAGGAGGUAUGACAUGCGAUUUACUGUAGGCUCUGAAUCCGAGUGCUCCAGUGCAGUGUAAUGAGCUCCAACUUGGUGUGUACUGCCUGCUGGACUGAAGAGACAUGCCUGUCUUUAUGUGAGAGGCUGGCUUUUGUUUACUAAGUUGUAGCAUUUAGACAUCCCAUGGCAGUCUAACUUAGCCUGCUUGUCUAAAUUGACUUCUGGUAACCACUUGGGCUAGGACACAGGAGGAAAGGAAGGCACUGUAUUUCCUAUGAGCUCUCUGCUCAGAGCAGCUGUCUGUGGUCCCGUGGGUCCUGGAUUCUGUGAUGGUAUCAGCACCUGGACGGCCCCAGUCUAGAUUCAGCAAUGAAAAUCCACAAAGAUUCAGGAAAACUUUAGCUACAAAUACCUUAAAAAUGAUAGAUUGAUGAUUUCCUUAAUUCCUAGAAUUUCUUUUAUAAAUGCUUUGUUUACAUUUUAGAUUGUAUCUGUCCUUAAUGUCAAAUGAUGAAUCCAGUUUGAAUCAGCUGUCAUUCCAAGCUAUCAUGCUCACGCCAUGUCAACAGCACCAUUUGUACUAAUGCUAAUAAUUCCAUCAAAAUUUGCCUGUGGAACAUAUAUUGUCCUUAACUUUAAGAUGUCAUUUCCUGAGACAGACUGUAUGAAGCUAUUGUCAGCUUCUCUAUUUCAAAUGCAAUCAGCAUAUAUCUAUAUUGAUAUCAGAAAAUACUUGUUUUUUAAAGAUAUAUUGAUGUAUGAUAAAGAUGAUCUAAUUUGUGAAUGCAUAUGUGUGCGUGGUUACUUUUUAUAAUGUGAAAUGGAUAAUGAGCGUAUUUAAAAUAAAGCAGAGGUUAAUGAGAUACCUGUA